rnacentral:rRNA from 1 species
GUGGCGCACGGGUGAGUAACACGUAAGUAAUCUGCCUUUAGGUCUGACAUAACCCAUCGAAAGGUGGGAUAAUAUCAGAUGAUGCAGCGGCUUGACAUCAAGACAGUUGUUAAACCUUCGGGGUCUGAAGAUGAGCUUGCGUCCCAUUAGAUUGUUGGCGGAGUAACAGCCCACCAAGUCUGCGAUGGGUAGCUGGUCUGAGAGGAUGAUCAGCCACACUGGAACUGAGACACGGUCCAGACUCCUACGGGAGGCAGCAGUAAGGAAUAUUGCUCAAUGGCCGAAAGGCUGAAGCAGCAACGCCGCGUGAAGGAUGAAGUCCUUUUGGAUGUAAACUUCUGUAGAGAAGGAGAAAACCCCCGUUCUACGGGGAUUGAUAGUACUUCUAAAGUAAGCCCCGGCUAACUACGUGCCAGCAGCCGCGGUAAUACGUAGGGGGCGAGCGUUGUCCGGAUUUACUGGGUGUAAAGGGUGCUCAGGUGGUUUUAUAAGUCAGGGGUGAAAUUCUAAAGCUUAACUUUGGAACUGCCCUUGA